GAGUUAAGAUGGAAAAAACUGGUGUGUGCUUAUUGAUGUAGCCAACAAGCAUACAUCAGUUUUUUCCAACUUAACUC
ensembl:miRNA MIR3148 microRNA 3148